rnacentral:snoRNA from 1 species
AGAAGUUUGCUAACACUCUGAAGCCAAAUCYCUCAAUAUUUGGAUUCAAUUUUGAAUGCAAACAAAAUCAAAAAUGUCUAUUACUUACCGUGCAAUUCUCUCAAUGUAUUGUACGGUCCUUUUUUUAACCCAGACAA